rnacentral:rRNA from 1 species
AUGGCGACGACUGGCGGCGACUGCGGCGGGUCUACCGGCGUUGGAGACGAUGGUCCACCGGUGGGAGAUAUAUGCGGGAGCUCAAACCCUAGUCGGCCAUCGGAUACGAGCAGCCCCAGCCAUAGCCCCCAGCACUGUCUCGAAUAUGCGGCGGCAAGAUCUUGGUCCAUGGCAGUGAAUGAGAAUCCGACGGAGAGCCACCGGAUUGCCUCGUCAUUUGGCGGCGUCUAUUUGAAUGAUGAUGUUUGGGAAGUUAGAAUGCACUUCCAUGACAGAGACAACUUGGAGAGAUCAGUUUGCAUUUCAGACAUAACAUAUUAUAAUUUGGUAGCCCUAAUAGAGACAGAGGGAUAUGGGUUGAAUGAUUUCAUGUAUUUUGUGAGGGAUCCUGGUGUGGGGAUUACAUGA